AUUAGAGACUUAGAGACCAAAGCCCUCUAUCCACAGAAGAGCAGAAACAUAGGCUGCAGUAGCGCUAGCUUUCCUACAUUGUUCCAACAAAUGGACCUCAUCCCUGACCUGGAGAUACUACUUCUAGGGAUGAUAAGGGCAUUGGAGUAUCCAUGCUCAUUCAGUCUUUGAUCUCU
rnacentral:sRNA from 1 species